CUCUCUCUCCCAGCCCCUCUCUCUCUCUCUCCCAGCCCCCCUCUCUCUCGUAAACAGACUGCUUGGUGUGUCUCCCGAACUACAGCCAGGAAGUCCUGGGAGCCGAGAGCGCUUUACACACACAGAGAGGCAUUCUGAGUAGUAUAAUGGGAUAGAGUGAUGUUACCAGGUACAGACAGCUGGCAGGUCUCCUCCAUAGAGACAUGAUCCAGGUGUUACCUGGUACAGACAGCUGGCAGGUCUCCUCCAUAGAGACGUGAUCCAGGUGUUACCUGGUACAGACAGCUGGCAGGUCUCCUCCAUAGAGACGUGAUCCAGGUGUUACCUGGUACAGACAGCUGGCAGGUCUCCUCCAUAGAGACGUGAUCCAGGUGUUACCUGGUACAGACAGCUGGCAGGUCUCCUCCAUAGAGACGUGAUCCAGGUGUUACCUGGUACAGACAGCUGGCAGGUCUCCUCCAUAGAGACGUGAUCCAGGUGUUACCUGGUACAGACAGCUGGCAGGUCUCCUCCAUAGAGACGUGAUCCAGGUGUUACCUGGUACAGACAGCUGGCAGGUCUCCUCCAUAGAGACGUGAUCCAGGUGUUACCUGGUACAGACAGCUGGCAGGUCUCCUCCAUAGAGACGUGAUCCAGGUGUUACCUGGUACAGACAGCUGGCAGGUCUCCUCCAUAGAGACGUGAUCCAGGUGUUACCUGGUACAGACAGCUGGCAGGUCUCCUCCAUAGAGACGUGAUCCAGGUGUUACCUGGUACAGACAGCUGGCAGGUCUCCUCCAUAGAGACGUGAUCCAGGUGUUACCUGGUACAGACAGCUGGCAGGUCUCCUCCAUAGAGACGUGAUCCAGGUGUUACCUGGUACAGACAGCUGGCAGGUCUCCUCCAUAGAGACGUGAUCAAGACGAUCUUUAAUUUAUUAAUAACUAUUUGUUUGUGUGUGUAAACCUCCUGGUUUUGAAUAAAAUAUUUAUGUAUUGGUCUCUGCUCCCUCUCUCCCCUCUCACUGCUCCCCCCCUCUCUGCUCCCUCUCUCUCUCUCCUCUCUCUGCUCCCUCU